rnacentral:rRNA from 1 species
CCCGAUGGAGGGGGAUAACUACUGGAAACGGUAGCUAAUACCGCAUAACGUCUUCGGACCAAAGUGGGGGACCUUCGGGCCUCACACCAUCGGAUGUGCCCAGAUGGGAUUAGCUAGUAGGUGGGGUAAUGGCUCACCUAGGCGACGAUCCCUAGCUGGUCUGAGAGGAUGACCAGCCACACUGGAACUGAGACACGGUCCAGACUCCUACGGGAGGCAGCAGUGGGGAAUAUUGCACAAUGGGCGCAAGCCUGAUGCAGCCAUGCCGCGUGUAUGAAGAAGGCCUUCGGGUUGUAAAGUACUUUCAGCGGGGAGGAAGGCGAUGAGGUUAAUAACCUUAUCGAUUGACGUUACCCGCAGAAGAAGCACCGGCUAACUCCGUGCCAGCAGCCGCGGUAAU